rnacentral:tRNA from 1 species
GGGUGUAUAAUAUAACGGCUAUUAUCUCCCGCUCUUAACCGGAUCAUCGGAGUUCGAAUCUCCGUGCACCCACCA